rnacentral:rRNA from 1 species
CCACCUGAUCCCAUGCCGAACUCAGAAGUGAAACGUUGUAGCGCCGAUGGUAGUGUGGGGUCUCCCCAUGUGAGAGUAGGGAACUGCCAAGC